UACGUAGGGUGCAAGCGUUGUCCGGAAUUAUUGGGCGUAAAGAGCUCGUAGGCGGUUUGUCGCGUCUGCUGUGAAAACGCGAGGCUCAACCUCGCGCCUGCAGUGGGUACGGGCAGACUGGAGUGCGGUAGGGGAGAUUGGAAUUCCUGGUGUAGCGGUGGAAUGCGCAGAUAUCGGGAAGAACACCCGUGGCGAAGGCGGCUCUCUGGGACGGUACUGACGCUGAGACGCGAAAGCGUGGGGGAGCGAACAGG
rnacentral:rRNA from 1 species